rnacentral:rRNA from 1 species
CGCGUCUUGUGGCCCUUGGGCCUGGGCCGUUCCGUCCGCCCGGGCUAUCCUCUCCCUCCUCGGUGGCUGGGGCGCAGACCAAAAGGGCAGCACCCCCAUCCCAGCCAGCACGCUAGGGUUACCUACCACCCCCUCUCGCCCCCCUCCCGUCGGCGACUCCCCAAUCCGCCGCCACCGUCGGUCGUCGCCGACCUCGACCCCGCCCCCGGUUCGUACGCCGGCUGCUUCCUCGCUCCCUCGACCCCGUCGACCGUCGCCGCCGCGACGCCGUUCCGGGAAUAAACCAUGAAGCCUUCUGGUAAGCGUACCAGCCAACACAGGGAUCAUGACAGAGAAGACAGGGAUCAAAAGCGGAGGCCGGCUCACACCCAGGAGACCUCCGGUACGGACGAAUUGGUUGUUUACCGGAUACUUUGUCCAGACAAAGUGAUUGGUAGUGUAAUUGGCAAGGGUGGCAAGGUGAUAAAUUCCAUCCGGCAACAGACAAAUGCCAAAGUCAAGAUUGUCGACCCAUACCCUGGUGCUGACAAAAGGGUUGUUUUGGUAUAUUGUUAUGUCAAGCAUAGAGAUGUCAUGAUUAGCGACAUAGAUGAUGAUGAUGAUAGGGAGCCUGUUUGCGCAGCACAAAAUGCAUUACUCAUGGUGCAUGAUGCAAUUGUUGAUGCUCUGGCAAUCACUAGUGACUCUGAUGAUAAAGAAGCCAACAUUCUUGUACCAGCUAGUCAAGCUGCAAGUGUUAUUGGAAAAUCUGGUGCUGUCAUCAAGAGGCUUCGCUCAGUUUCAAAAUCAUUCAUUAAAGUUAAACCAAAAGAUCCAAGCGAUGUUACACACUCAUGUGCUAUGAGUUUUGAUAAUUUCGUUCAGAUAACUGGGGACACUAGAGCUGUCAAGAAGGCAUUGUUUGCAGUAUCAACAAUUAUCUACAAAUGUCCAUCAAAAGAGAACAUUCCUCUUGAAACAUCUAUUGAUGAACUUCCUCCAACCAUUAUACUUCCUUCAGAGCUUCCAGUUUAUCCGGCUAGUAGCUUAUACUCAGUGUCAGAUGCUUCUGUGUCCUCUGGGCAUCCAAGUCUGUCUAUCUUAGGGGCAAGAAGUCGUGGUUCUCAUGUUCCUGAAUUUACUGUACCCACUGAUGCUCAUGGUGGAUUGCCCAUUUAUCAGUCUAUGGUCCCAGCUAUUCCUACUUAUAACACCCCAAAAUGUUCAGGAGAGCUAUUGGUGCGUGUUGUAUGCCCUGGUGACAGGAUUGGGUUAGUUAUUGGUAAAGGUGGGAUGACCAUAAAGAAUAUAAGGAAAGAAAGUGGUGCAAGCGUAGAUGUUGAUGACGCAAAGAAUGAUAAGGAGGAAAGCAUAAUCACCAUUUCGUCCACUGAGGCCACCGAUGAUGUUAAGUCUGCAGCAGUGGAAGCUGUUCUUCUGCUUCAAGCAAAGAUCAACGAUGAAACUGAAGAUAGAAUUCAUCUCCGCCUUCUUGUUCCGGGUAAUGUCAUUGGCUGCCUUAUCGGCAAGGGUGGUUCAAUCAUUAAUGACAUGCGGAAUAAGUCUAAGGCAAUUAUCCACAUAUCCAAGGGCACUAAGCCCCGGAAGGCAUCUUCCAGUGAUGAGCUUGUUGAGGUGUUCGGGGAAGUGGACAAACUGCGUGAUGCUCUUGUUCAGAUCGUUCUAAGGCUCCGGGAAGAAGUUCUGAAGGACAGCGUGGGGAGGCAAAAUUCUGGCAAGGAUGGGAAGCUAACUGUUGCCACCACUGAACCCGUGUAUUCAAGCAGCUUUCCGAUGCCAGCAUUAUUACCUUACAGUCAACAAAUCACUCCAUUGCGCCAUGAUCAAAGGGGUGAAGCUGAGCGUGGUUCGAAUGUAUUUCCUCGUAGCAACUUGUAUCAUGGAUACAGCCCCAGGCAGGCUGUAGAUGAUGGAUUUGGAGUACGCUCCUCAUACACUUCAAAGCCAUAUGGAAGACGCGUCCCAGAUAUGGAAAUGUUUAUUCCUUCUAGCGGCCUUUCAAAAGUAAUGGGGAAGCACGGUACAAACUUGGACAACAUUAGAAAGAUUUCUGGAGCUGACAUUGAAAUUAUUGAAUCAAAAUCAUCUCGUCAUGAGCAUGUUGCUAACAUAUUUGGCACCCCGGAGCAGAGGCAGUCGGCAGAGAAUUUGAUCAAAGCUUUCAUAAUGUCUACUUAAGGAGGUUCCUGCUGUAGUUUGAAAGGAUAUAUGUGGACCCUUCAGUCAGCUCUAUCGGACUUCUCUUGUCAUCCCGUAGAUCAAAAACUAUGUUCUCCAUCCCUUGAACUCUCCAAUAAACCUCAUGCUUAUCUGUCUAUCUUCCUCAGACUCUCAACCAUGGCUAUACUUGUGUGGACUUGUCCGUGUUUAAUCGCAUGUUCAGAUAUUCCUGUCUAAUCUCGAUGACUGCUUCAAUCUCUGCCUAUUCAUAACCAAUUCUUUAUGCUGUCAGCGCUGAUUGCUGAUAUGUUCGCCAGUAUGGGUGGGGCACUCUUUUGCCACUUCAGUCCAUGCAGCACACGUUUUUUCAGUGCUGUGCUUGGUGGCAAUACCGUAUUAGAUAUCCAAGGAGUAUUCUAACACUUCGUUUUUAAGAAAUCUAUUGCAUUAUUACCAAUUAGAAUUCUCCCCAUCCUUUUCAUGAUAGACUUAAACAUCAUCGUUCUUGUACUCUUUUGCUGCUUACCAUGAUUGAUAAUCUUGAGUCGAACACGUGGUACAUGUUUUUUCAGUGUUCUGCAUGGUGGCUACAUCAUCCUUAGAUACCCAAGGACUUCUCUAAUAUACAUAAUUUUAAGAAAUCUGUUUCAUGGUGACCAAGUAGAAAUUCUUCAUGUUCUUUUGAAAUAGAUGUAGUUAAAAAGUUCAAAAUCUCGAAAGCCCCCAUGAACUUUGGUUGGGUCAUACUCUUCCAUGCUACCCAUGCAUGUUUCCUAUUUCCUUCUUUACUCCCCCACCAAAACUGUCGAAUAAGUUUAUUAAGGUGCUCACAAAGACCCCUUGGCAACUUAAAGCAAGACAUAGAGAAAACAGGUACCGCCUGAGCAACAGAAUUUACCAACACCUCCUUACAAGCUGUAGAUAACGUUUUCUCAAUCCAUCCCUUCACCUUACUCCACAACCUGUCCUUCAAAUAUUUAAAGGCUCCAAAUUUUGAAGUACCUAAGUAACGGCCCUAAAAUUGUGUAUAUUCUGAAAACAGGUUCUGAACUUGACUCUUCCCAAUCAAUCAUCUCAACUAAUCCGGUAAAUUCCUUAGGUGGAUAGGUUUUUAGAUAUGUUUACGUUUUUUGACAUCACAACUAAAGUAAUAUUAUUGCCCUUCUGAAAUAAGUGUUGGUUGAGUAAUGGCACUAAAAUUAUGUAUAAUCUAGAAAUAGGUUCUGUACAUGACUCCUCUUCCCAUUCAUUAUCCCAGCUUUUGUGCUCAUUCCUUAGCCAUGCAUGUUUCUAGAUUUGUUAUUUCUCUUUGACACCAAACUGUGAAUAGUAGAUAGUUAGUUAGUCAUGUCCAUUCUUUGUAAAUACUUAGUAUCUUAUGAGUUGCAACUGCUUGGAUGCCGCAAGUUAUAUUGCGGCUUCUGCUCACGCAUUGCUAUUAGGUGAAUUCGUCAACAAAGAACUUGAGAAUGCUGAGAUUUUGUGGCAGUCAGCUGAUGAUUUCCACCUCUCUUCUCUGUUCCUGUUUGCUCUGUUGCCAGUACGGGGAGGGGCCCUUAUACAUGUUCUUAUCAGCGCCGAUACCAUCCUUAGAUAUCUAAGGAGUGGAUACCCCAAUGUAGAGCAAUCUUUUGAAAUCUGUUUCAUUGUUACCAACUAAAGUUCUUAUCGUCCUUUCGUGAUAAACUUUAACAUCGCCCUUCUUACUCUUUUGCCACUUCCGAUAGACUCCAAUCUGAACACGAAGCACAGCACAUUCAAUCCAGUGUUUGCAUGGUGGCAAUACCAUCCCUAGAUAUCUAAGGAGUAUUCCAGUGAUUCAGUUUUAAGAAAUCUUGUUUCUUAUGAGUUGCAACUGCUUGGUGGUACUGCAACAUAACUUUGUGGCAGUUGGCUGAUGAUUUUCCCCUCGUUUCUCUAUUCUUGUUUGUUCUGUGUGUCAGCGCUGAUAGCUGAUUCUCUCUGUUGCCUGUACGGGAGGAACCCCUAUAUUCUUUCACCAACUUGCCAUGAUAGUCUUUAAUCAGAACAUGCAAUUCACGUUUUCCAGUGUUUUGCAUGGUGGCAGUACCAUCCUUGGAUAUCCAAGGAGUCUAGUAAUACUUCAAUUUUAAGAAAUCUGUCUGAGUGCAAAAUUCUUCUUGUCCCUUUUCAAAUUAUCUAUAAUCGUUCUGUACCUGACUCCCUUCCCAUUCAUCAUCUCGACUAAUGCUGUCAUUCAUUAGCCAUGCACAUUCUUAGGUGACUACGUUUCUGUGAAUGGUAAGUAGGUAGGUAGAUAGUCAUGGCAGCUCUUUGUAAAUAAUUAAUUUCUGCUUAUGAGUUGGCAACUGCUCGCAAGAUGACUUUGCGGCUACUGUUAAUGCAAUUUUUGUUGGUGAGUUGUGCCCCUUGUAAAUAGAGAACAUGGGUGCUGAAAAUUUGUGGCAAUCGGCUGGUGAUUCACCAACUUGUUUUUUUUGGGGUCUGUUCUGCGUGUUGUGGUAAGGUGUGUGGC